UGACGGAGCAACGCCGCGUGAGUGAUGAAGGUUUUCGGAUCGUAAAACUCUGUUGUUAGGGAAGAACAAGUACCGGAGUAACUGCCGGUACCUUGACGGUACCUAACCAGAAAGCCACGGCUAACUACGU
rnacentral:rRNA from 1 species